ACAUGGAUUUAUUUAAGCAAUUUUGGAGAUAUCUUGUUUUAAAUGUUAGGGAGCAUAUUAUGGAAUUUUCAAAGAAAACAUUUAUCUAAGUGUGACAAGAUUCAGGAAAUGUUUGGUUGUUGUAAUUGAACCUAAAGAUCAAUGACCUGAGACAGGAAGAUAAACAAAAGAAACAUAAUAGUAAAAAGGUUCAGUUACAGAGUCAGCUUGAAAGCAAGUUUGCAGGUGUUCCAAACUACAAGAAGAUGGCAAUCCAGUCUCUUAUCAUAGUAUAAAGCAGAGGAAUAUACUGGAAAGUCAUUGGCAUUGGCACAAAGGAAGCCAACUGUAGACCAGGAAAGGCUUCAAGGAAUAUACUAAAGAAUUGUAUCCAAGCAUUUUCCACAUGUGACCCCUGUGACGGUGAGGGAAAAACUUGGGGACACUUUAAAAUCAUGAAGAGUGAACAGGACUUCAAUAGAUUAAUAUUUGAAUACAUAAAAAUUUGCCGGGUACCAAAAAAAUUAUAA